AGUGAACGCUGGCGGUAGGCCUAACACAUGCAAGUCGAACGGCAGCACAGUAAGAGCUUGCUCUUACUGGUGGCGAGUGGCGGACGGGUGAGGAAUACAUCGGAAUCUACUUUUUCGUGGGGGAUAACGUAGGGAAACUUACGCUAAUACCUCAUACGACCUACGGGUGAAAGCAUGGGAUCUUCGGACCUUGCGCGAUUGAAUGAGCCGAUGUCGGAUUAGCUAGUUGGCGGGGUAAAGGCCCACCAAGGCGACGAUCCGUAGCUGGUCUGAGAGGAUGAUAAGAGACACUGGAACUGAGACACGGUCCAGACUCCUACGGGAGGCAGCAGUGGGGAAUAUUGGACAAUGGGCGCAAGCAUGAUCCAGCCAUACCGCGUGGGUGAAGAAGGACUUCGGGUUGUAAAGCCCUUUUGUUGGGAAAGAAAAGCAGCAGGUUAAUACCCCGCUGUUCUGACGGUACCCAAAGAAUAAGCACCGGCUAACUUCGUG
rnacentral:rRNA from 1 species